rnacentral:rRNA from 1 species
CCUAUGGGGUGCAGCAGUCGCGAAAACUUCACACUGGGGGCAACCCCGAUGAGGGAAUUCCUAGUGCAUGCAUUAAAUGUAUGCUUUUCUUUAGUAUAGAACGCUAAAGGAAUAAGGGCUGGGAAAGACGGGUGCCAGCCGCCGCGGUAAUACCCGCAGCCCGAGUGGUGGUCGAUAUUAUUGAGUCUAAAACGUUCGUAGCCUGUUCAGUAAAUCUUUGGGUAAAUCGGUGAGCUUAACUUACCGAAUUCCGAGGAGACUGCUGAACUUGGGACCGGGAGAGGCUAGAGGUACUUCUGGGGUAGGGGUAAAAUCCUGUAAUCCUAGAAGGACCACCGGUGGCGAAGGCGUCUAGCUAGAACGGAUCCGACGGUGAGGGACGAAGCCCUGGGGCGCAAACGGGAUUAGAUACCCACGUAGUCC